UUGCUCUUUAACAAUUUGGAAAGCUGACAAAACAACAAUUUAUUGUUGUUUGUAAAGUUCUCAAUGUUUGUCUUUAUGACAAACACCAACAAACACAUUCAAGUGUUCUUGGGAAUAGUCACUGUUAAGUGACUAUUCGAAAUUGAGUCCGGCAAAAUCAACGCUAUCUCGCUCAUUCAAAUAAUGAGAUAGCAACUUUGGUUGUUUAACAAAGACCCUUUGGGGUUGUAU
rnacentral:misc_RNA from 1 species